CCCUUAGACGUUCUGGGCCGCACGCGCGCUACACUGACCAGUGCAACAAGCAUCCGUUCUUGGCCGACAGGCCCGGGCAAUCUUUGAACGCUGGUCGUGAUGGGGAUAGACUUUUGCAAUUUUUGGUCUUCAACGAGGAAUUCCUAGUAAACGCAAGUCAUCAACUUGCAUUGAUUACGUCCCUGCCCUUUGUACACACCGCCCGUCGCACCUACCGAUUGAAUGGUCCGGUGAAGCCUCCGGAUUGGCGCGCACCUCGGUGCCGCCGAGAAGUUGGCUAAACCUUACCAUUUAGAGGAAGGUGAAGUCGUAACA
rnacentral:rRNA from 1 species